rnacentral:rRNA from 1 species
AGAGUUUGAUCCUGGCUCAGAUUGAACGCUGGCGGCAGGCCUAACACAUGCAAGUCGAACGGUAGCACAGAGAGCUUGCUCUCGGGUGACGAGUGGCGGACGGGUGAGUAAUGUCUGGGAAACUGCCUGAUGGAGGGGGAUAACUACUGGAAACGGUAGCUAAUACCGCAUAAUGUCGCAAGACCAAAGAGGGGGACCUUCGGGCCUCUUGCCAUCGGAUGUGCCCAGAUGGGAUUAGCUAGUAGGUGGGGUAAUGGCUCACCUAGGCGACGAUCCCUAGCUGGUCUGAGAGGAUGACCAGCCACACUGGAACUGAGACACGGUCCAGACUCCUACGGGAGGCAGCAGUGGGGAAUAUUGCACAAUGGGCGCAAGCCUGAUGCAGCCAUGCCGCGUGUAUGAAGAAGGCCUUCGGGUUGUAAAGUACUUUCAGCGAGGAGGAAGGCAUUGUGGUUAAUAACCUCAGNGAUUGACGUUACUCGCAGAAGAAGCACCGGCUAACUCCGUGCCAGCAGCCGCGGUAAUACGGAGGGUGCAAGCGUUAAUCGGAAUUACUGGGCGUAAAGCGCACGCAGGCGGUCUGUUAAGUCAGAUGUGAAAUCCCCGGGCUCAACCUGGGAACUGCAUUUGAAACUGGCAGGCUUGAGUCUUGUAGAGGGGGGUAGAAUUCCAGGUGUAGCGGUGAAAUGCGUAGAGAUCUGGAGGAAUACCGGUGGCGAAGGCGGCCCCC